rnacentral:rRNA from 1 species
CUCUGGCGGCGUGCUUAACACAUGCAAGUCGAACGGAAAGGCCCUGCUUUUGUGGGGUGCUCGAGUGGCGAACGGGUGAGUAACACGUGAGUAACCUGCCCUUGACUUUGGGAUAACUUCAGGAAACUGGGGCUAAUACCGGAUAGGAGCUCCUGCUGCAUGGUGGGGGUUGGAAAGUUUCGGCGGUUGGGGAUGGACUCGCGGCUUAUCAGCUUGUUGGUGGGGUAGUGGCUUACCAAGGCUUUGACGGGUAGCCGGCCUGAGAGGGUGACCGGCCACAUUGGGACUGAGAUACGGCCCAGACUCCUACGGGAGGCAGCAGUGGGGAAUAUUGCACAAUGGGCGGAAGCCUGAUGCAGCAACGCCGCGUGCGGGAUGACGGCCUUCGGGUUGUAAACCGCUUUCGCCUGUGACGAAGCGUGAGUGACGGUAAUGGGUAAAGAAGCACCGGCUAACUACGUGCCAGCAGCCGCGGUGAUACGUAGGGUGCGAGCGUUGUCCGGAUUUAUUGGGCGUAAAGGGCUCGUAGGUGGUUGAUCGCGUCGGAAGUGUAAUCUUGGGGCUUAACCCUGAGCGUGCUUUCGAUACGGGUUGACUUGAGGAAGGUAGGGGAGAAUGGAAUUCCUGGUGGAGCGGUGGAAUGCGCAGAUAUCAGGAGGAACACCAGUGGCGAAGGCGGUUCUCUGGGCCUUUCCUGACGCUGAGGAGCGAAAGCGUGGGGAGCGAACAGGCUUAGAUACCCUGGUAGUCCACGCUGUAAACGGUGGGUACUAGGUGUGGGGUCCAUUCCACGGGUUCCGUGCCGUAGCUAACGCUUUAAGUACCCCGCCUGGGGAGUACGGCCGCAAGGCUAAAACUCAAAGGAAUUGACGGGGCCCCGCACAAGCGGCGGAGCAUGCGGAUUAAUUCGAUGCAACGCGUAGAACCUUACCUGGGUUUGACAUGGAUCGGGAGUGCUCAGAGAUGGGUGUGCCUCUUUUGGGGUCGGUUCACAGGUGGUGCAUGGCUGUCGUCAGCUCGUGUCGUGAGAUGUUGGGUUAAGUCCCGCAACGAGCGCAACCCUUGUUCACUGUUGCCAGCACGUUAUGGUGGGGACUCAGUGGAGACCGCCGGGGUCAACUCGGAGGAAGGUGGGGAUGACGUCAAGUCAUCAUGCCCCUUAUGUCCAGGGCUUCACGCAUGCUACAAUGGCUGGUACAGAGAGUGGCGAGCCUGUGAGGGUGAGCGAAUCUCGGAAAGCCGGUCUCAGUUCGGAUUGGGGUCUGCAACUCGACCUCAUGAAGUCGGAGUCGCUAGUAAUCGCAGAUCAGCAACGCUGCGGUGAAUACGUUCCCGGGGCUUGUACACACCGCCCGUCAAGUCAUGAAAGUUGGUAACACCCGAAGCCGGUGGCCUAACCGUUGUGGGGGAGCCGUCGAAGGUGGGACUGGUGAUUAGGACUA